UUGCGCAGAUUGAGUACAUUUCAGUUGAUGUGGGUCUUCGGCCGGAAUCAUUCACUUCGGUGGUUUCUAAAGUCCACCUGUCGAAAGCGACAGUCCAGCAAGCGGUGCAAGCAGCGCAAGCAGUCCCCUUCGGAGUGCAUACCCCAACUGUCCUUGCUGCUGGCUCUGCCCGCAUCUGAGCAUUGGAUGAGAGUCGCUGUGCCCUCAAGAAUUGCGACUGUGCGACGGCCAACUUGACAUGAGUAGGAACUGAAGAUGCGUAGUCAACUAACAGACUACUGCUGCACGGCUUCUGAAAUAGUCUAUAUGACAAUUCGCUUGACUGUUGAACAGCGAUGGUGACAUCCGUAUAGUCUAGGCAGCCUCUGUCGCAGCUCAGAUCAUAGGUGAACUUGAUUCGAGGGUGGACGUUGUUGAAUCGGUCAAUCAGCUCCAUAAGUCGCUGUUUUCCAUGGAUCCAGAGGAUAAUGAUAUCAUCAAUAUACCUUCUAUACAGAAUAAGGCGCAAGGGAUAUGAAAAUAGGAGUGCGCAUCAUGUGGCAAUGAUUCGGACCGCGGACUGCUAUGUUUGCCAACAGGUGUGUCCAGCCUACAACACUAUGUUGCAUUCACAAGUCACUAAUGAUGAAGGAGGAUAAUACAAACGAGUUGUUGGGCGUGCCUGCACCCUUGAACCCGGACCCCGUCAAGCUCUCUAUGACUUGCUCCCCUUGAACUCGAACUCCGUCCAGCGCUCUAUUACUCCCCUCGACUCCCCUUGAACUCCGACCCUGUCAAGCGCUCUAUGACUUGCUCCCAGUGAACUCGGACCCCGUCAAGCGCUCUAUGACUUCGUUAUCAUUCUAGCGUUGCUCCUGUAACUACGCUGUUCCCUCACAUGUCGUCACAUUCUUGGCGUCCAA